rnacentral:rRNA from 1 species
UACGGAGGGUGCAAGCGUUAUCCGGAUUCACUGGGUUUAAAGGGUGCGUAGGUGGGUUGGUAAGUCAGUGGUGAAAUCUCCGGGCUUAACCUGGAAACUGCCAUUGAUACUAUCAAUCUUGAAUACCUUGGAGGUGAGCGGAAUAUGUCAUGUAGCGGUGAAAUGCUUAGAUAUGACAUAGAACACCAAUUGCGAAGGCAGCUCACUACACGGUCAUUGACACUGAGGCACGAAAGCGUGGGGAUCAAACAGGAAUUAGAAACCCCU